rnacentral:rRNA from 1 species
UACGUAGGCAGCAAGCGUUGUUCGGAGUUACUGGGCGUAAAGAGUGCGUAGGCGGUUGUUUAAGUUUGGUGUGAAAUCUCCCGGCUUAACUGGGAGGGUGCGGUGGAAACUGGGGUGCUUGAGUGUGGGAGAGGUAAGCGGAAUUCCUGGUGUAGCGGUGAAAUGCGUAGAUAUCAGGAGGAACACCGGUGGUGUAGACGGCUUACUGGACCACGACUGACGCUGAGGCACGAAAGCGUGGGUAGCAAACAGG